AUUGAACCCGCAACCUCAUGGUUCCUAGUGGGGUUCGUUAACCACUGUGCCAUGGCGGGAACUCCCCUUGGGUGUUGUAAUAUUUUAAAAUCUGUCUAGCUUUUAAAAAUUAUAACUGUGUUAAAAAUGUUAUAGCUGUACUCAUAAAAUUCUAAAUUUGGAACUUCUGGUUGUAAAUCCUACAUAUUACCUGUCCUAUGUGAGAAACGCAUCUUUGUGAACUUUUGCUUCAUCUUUUAGGUAAAUGAUUAGAACAUGCUUUGCUUCUCCUGUCUUGCAGGGAGACUGACUGUGACCCUGACUGUGAAAUCUGUAUUCCUGAUAGAAUUAUAUAGAUACAAUCUUCUACUAAUAGCAGCACUUUGGCUUAGUGGUGGCUGGAUCUGUAUUAAUAUUUUGGGUCUUAAUUGGUGACUGAAUCGACAGGAAACCCAAAAAGAAAGAAGGGAGCUGGAACAGUUCUGGCACUGCUGGCUCACCGUGUCUUCCAUCCACCCUGUGUGCCGUGAGAGUAAACGUCAGAGGCAAGACGCGAAUGCCCUUCAGUGAGUCAUCUCUGGGUGGUCCUGCUCACUGAUUUGGGAUCUAACUAAUCUUUAAGCAGUGUUCUCCUCACCCGUAAUUUUCAAAUCAGAGCCUAAAUCUCACAGACAUGAAGGCAAUGGAACAGCAGCGUCUCUGUCUGCAAGGUGGUCUGCUAUGCAGUUAUGAUCACUCUGGUGGCCUUGGCGAACCUGGCCAGCAUGGCACUGACCAUCACCAUUCGGAGAGACUGGGUUGUGAGCCAGGUGACAGCAGAGGCCAGCUGGCUGGUGAGCUGUGCCACCCCAAGACACAACGGAGCAUCACAGCUUCUCUAAUCUGCUGAGAAGUAGGUCUGGUGUGGUGAAUAGAGUUUGGGUGCUCUGAGAAAUGCAGUACUGUAGCCUUUAAGAGAACGUAUUUGGGAGUUCCUUUUGUGGCUCAGUGGGUUAAGAACCCAUUAGUAUCCAUGAGGAUGCAGGUUUGAUUCCUGGCCUCACUCAGUGGGUUAGGGAUCCGGCAUUGACACAAGCUGUGGUAUAGGUUGCAGAUGCAGCUUGGAUCUGGCAUGGCUGUGGUGUAGGCCAGUGGCUGCAACUUUGAUUCAGCCCCUAUCCUGGGAACUUCUAUAUGCUGUAGGUGAAGCCCUAAAAAGCAAAAAGAAAAAAAAAGAAAAGAGAGAGAAAGAAGGUAUUUGGAGUCAAAGAGACCUGGACUUGAAUCCAGCCAAAACCAACUACGGCUCCUACCAGCUGCAAGUUAACUAACUUCCCUAGACUUUACUUUGCUCAUCUGUAGAAUGGGGAAAUUAUGACAACCCCCCACCUUGCCAUCACUCAGUUUGGGGAAGGCUUCUGUGACAUAGGGGAUUUGUGAAGCACUUAGCAUUGUAUCUGCAUGUAGGAAGCACAGAAGAAAUGGAUGAUGCCAUUAUUAUCAAAAAGAUGUACAGAGUGUACUUUGGGGAGAGGAGCCCCUUUGAAUAUAUUACAGAGGUUCUUUUUGGUAGUUUUAGAGUUGGAAAAUAAAUUACAAGAUUUCUUAAUUCUGGCCA
rnacentral:lncRNA from 1 species